GCUGGGCAUGGUGGUGUGUGCCUGUGAUCCCAGCUACUUGGGAGGCUGAGGCAAGAGAAUUGCUUGAACCCGGGAGGCAGAGACUGCAGUGAGCCGAGAUUGCACCACUGCACUCCAGCCUGGGUGACAAAGUGAGAUCUUGUCUCAA
rnacentral:SRP_RNA from 1 species